AAUAAACGCUGGCGGCGUGCCUAACACAUGCAAGUCGAACGAGAAAGCCCGGCUUCGGCUUGGGCGAGUAAAGUGGCGCACGGGUGAGUAACGCGUAGGCAACCUGCCCCUGUGUUCGGGAUAACAGUGCGAAAGCGCUGCUAAUACCGGAUAUGGCCAUCAGGCGGGAGUUUGAUGGUCAAAGUCGGCCUCUCGACGAAGCCGAUGCACGGGGAUGGGCCUGCGUCCUAUCAGCUUGUUGGUAGGGUAACGGCCUACCAAGGCGACGACGGGUAGCUGGUCUGAGAGGAUGAUCAGCCACACUGGCACUGAAACACGGGCCAGACUCCUACGGGAGGCAGCAGUGAGGAAUUUUGCGCAAUGGCCGCAAGGCUGACGCAGCAACGCCGCGUGGGUGAAGAAGGCCUUCGGGUCGUAAAGCCCUGUCAGGUGGGAAGAAUGUCCGGGGGAUGAAUGAUCUUUCGGAGUGACGGUACCACCAGAGGAAGCACCGGCUAACUCCGUGCCAGCAGCCGCGGUAA
rnacentral:rRNA from 1 species